rnacentral:rRNA from 1 species
GGUUAAGCGACUAAGCGUACACGGUGGAUGCCCUGGCAGUCAGAGGCGAUGAAGGGCGUGCUAAUCUGCGAUAAGCGCCGGUAAGGUGAUAUGAACCGUUAUAACCGGCGAUACCCGAAUGGGGAAACCCAGUGUGAUUCGUCACACUAUCAUUACGUGAAUACAUAGCGUAAUGAAGCGAACCGGGGGAACUGAAACAUCUAAGUACCCCGAGGAAAAGAAAUCAACCGAGAUUCCCCCAGUAGCGGCGAGCGAACGGGGAGGAGCCCAGAGCCUGAAUCAGCAUGUGUGUUAGUGGAAGCGUCUGGAAAGGCGCGCGAUACAGGGUGACAGCCCCGUACACAAAAGCGCAUGUGUUGUGAGCUCGAUGAGUAGGGCGGGACACGUGGUAUCCUGUCUGAAUAUGGGGGGACCAUCCUCCAAGGCUAAAUACUCCUGACUGACCGAUAGUGAACCAGUACCGUGAGGGAAAGGCGAAAAGAACCCCGGCGAGGGGAGUGAAAAAGAACCUGAAACCGUGUACGUACAAGCAGUGGGAGCACCCUUUGGGGUGUGACUGCGUACCUUUUGUAUAAUGGGUCAGCGACUUAUAUUCUGUAGCAAGGUUAACCGAAUAGGGGAGCCGGAGGGAAACCGAGUCUUAAUUGGGCGUUAAGUUGCAGGGUAUAGACCCGAAACCCGGUGAUCUAGCCAUGGGCAGGUUGAAGGUUGGGUAACACUAACUGGAGGACCGAACCGACUAAUGUUGAAAAAUUAGCGGAUGACCUGUGGCUGGGGGUGAAAGGCCAAUCAAACCGGGAGAUAGCUGGUUCUCCCCGAAAGCUAUUUAGGUAGCGCCUCGUGAA